rnacentral:rRNA from 1 species
GAUGAACGCUAGCGGCAGGCUUAAUACAUGCAAGUCGAGGGGCAUCAAGGUACACGAAAGUGUAUUGUUGGCGACCGGCGGACGGGUGAGUAAUAGGUAGGUAACCUACCUCAUACUGAGGCAUAGCUGGGAGAAAUUCCAGGUAAUUCCUCAUGAGGUUAUAUGACACAUGUGAUAUAAUCAAAGGUAUCGCAAGGUACUGGUAUGAGAUGGGCUUACUGACCAUUAGCUAGUUGGUGAGAUAAGAGCUCACCAAGGCGAAGAUGGUUAGGGGUUUUGAGAGAGAGAUCCCCCACAUUGGAACUGAGAUACGGUCCAGACUCCUACGGGAGGCAGCAGUAGGGAAUAUUGGGCAAUGGGCGAAAGCCUGACCCAGCCAUGCCGCGUGAAGGAAGACGGCCUUAUGGGUUGUAAACUUCUUUACUACGCGAAUAGAGGUUAGUACGAGAUACUAAUAGGAAGGUAGUGUAGUAAAAAGCACCGGCUAACUCCGUGCC